rnacentral:rRNA from 1 species
GACGAACGCUGGCGGCGUGCUUAACACAUGCAAGUCGAACGGAAAGGCCCUGCUUUUGUGGGGUGCUCGAGUGGCGAACGGGUGAGUAACACGUGAGUAACCUGCCCUUGACUUUGGGAUAACUUCAGGAAACUGGGGCUAAUACCGGAUAGGAGCUCCUGCUGCAUGGUGGGGGUUGGAAAGUUUCGGCGGUUGGGGAUGGACUCGCGGCUUAUCAGCUUGUUGGUGGGGUAGUGGCUUACCAAGGCUUUGACGGGUAGCCGGCCUGAGAGGGUGACCGGCCACAUUGGGACUGAGAUACGGCCCAGACUCCUACGGGAGGCAGGAGUGGGGAAUAUUGCACAAUGGGCGGAAGCCUGAUGCAAGAAAGCCGCGUGCGGGAUGACGGCCUUCGGGUUGUAAACCGCUUUCCCCUGUGACGAAACGUGAGUGACGGUAAUGGGUAAAGAAGCACCGGCUAACUACGUG